rnacentral:rRNA from 1 species
GACGAACGCUGGCGGCGUGCCUAAUACAUGCAAGUCGAACGCAGUGGGGACGGGUGAGUAACACGUGGGUAACCUCCCAUCAGAGGGGAUAACACUUGGAUACAGGUGCUAAACCCAUACUGAUGGAUGGACCCGCGGGGCAUUAGCCAGUUGGUGAGGUAACGGCUCACCAAGGCUACGAUGCAUAGCCGACCUGAGAGGGUGAUCGGCCACACUGGAACUGAGACACGGCCCAGACUCCUACGGGAGGCAGCAGUAGGGAAUCUUCGACAAUGGGCGAAAGUCUGACCGAGCCACGCCGCGUGAGUGAAGAAGGUUUUCGGAUCGUAAAGUUCUGUUGUUAGAGAAGCGGUAUCUAACCAGAAAGCCACGGCUAACUCCGUGCCAGCAGCCGCGGUAAUAC